UCUUUAUAAAACAUUUGAUAAUAGAAGGAUAUAACUACAUCUGCUUCCUCUCAUAUUUCUCUAAUACUGCAUAUAUAUUUGUGUGUGUGUGUGUGUUUAUGAAAAUCUGGGAUUGUACUAUAGUUUUGUAGCCCGUUUUUCAGCAUUACAGACUGACUCAUUUCCUGUACGUCCUUAUAUAUUCAAAAUCAUGUUUUUUAGUAGCUUUUAGAUGGAUGUAAGGAUGGCCAUAAUCAAUUGUUAUUGAUUGUAUACUUUGAUGUGUUGAGGUAAACACAUUCAUAUGUAAAUCUUAAUGCAUAUCCGUCCCUUAUUUUCCCAAGAUAAAUGUCUAGACCUGAAAUGUCUAAAGAGCAUAGUUUUAACGUAUCUGAUAUAUUUUCAAACUUUACUCCAGGAAACUUGUCCAUUACACUCCCACCAGUAAUACACUAAAGUGUGCGUUUUGCAGCAUUCUUGCCAAAUGUAGAUUUUUAACAUAUUUAAAAAGCAAUUCCAAACAAAUGAAAAAUGGCGUCUCAUUUUAAUUUGUAUUUGAACAUAGAAAAGUCAAACAUUCUUCUAUGUUUAUUGUAAUUUUGUAUUUCUUUCUAGUCAAGAAUUCUAUUUAAUCUAUGAAGAUUUACUUUUUCAAUUUUGUCAUUUAAUUAUGUCUUUAAGAUUUUACAUAGUCAUGGUCUCAACUUUUCAUCUUUCAUACCUAUUCCAAAAACUUGUUUACUAUUUGUACUUUGGCUUGUGUAUUUUGAAAUACACAAGCUGUAAGUGAUAAUGUAUUCAGUGUCUUUCAGGUUCAGUUUUUUUAUUCUUAAAAAUGUCUUCUUAGGUUACAUAUGAUCACCUACAUUUUCUUAUAGCUCUUUUACCUUUUAUUACAUAUAUGUAAUACUAAUCCAUCACCAAUUCGAUGCACGGUAAUUUCUUUACGAUGUGGACAUAAAGUAAAACUUCUGAUUUUUAAAUGUUUUCAUUAUAGUUGGCUACUCUUGUCAACUUUCUUAUUAGUUCUUAGCUAUUCAUAGAUAAGGUUAUUAGCUAUUCAGUUUCUCUAGAGUUUUCCAGGUAAGAAUUUAUCUGCAAUUCAGUGUAAUUUACUUUUUAAUAGUUCAGACUUCUCAUUGCUUUUUGUUUUACUGAGAAUUUCCACGACAACGUUAGGGGGAAAAAACCCAGUGGUAAUGGUAUGAAUCCUCGUCUUGUUCAUUUUUAUAUACCUUAGAGCGUUUGGAACGCGUUCUGACAUCGAACUUCAAAUUUAUCGAAGAGAUGAGUGAUCGAAAGUUUUCUAGCGAAUUAAACAUAUUUAAUCUUCACAAAUUUGGAACGUAAACACUAUUGUCCCCAUUUCACAGAUGGAGAAAUUUGGGUUCAAGAAGGUUACACAACUUUACAUAAAGUCUGAGGGCUAUUUUAAGAAAAAUCUCUCCUUGAUUCCAAGAUCUUUUCCUGUUAUGUGAACAGUGGCCACCAGGGUCCUAGAAGAAAGCUUGCUCUGGCAUCGCUGGUCUGUUCCUUCCCUUCCCCACCUUCGAACAGAAUAUUAAGAUUGCCAAGGUCCCAACAGGCACGGACAGCUGGGCUGGUUCUCCGCUGUAGCCAACGCCAACCCUGCGGCGAGGCGGGCUCUCACAGUACAAUCUUCGUGAUUCCCAGGGUUUUCUAGGCGAUGGGCAGGUCAGAGUUUACAGCGUAGCUGAUGGCGCCUGCCUGUCUUGGAAGCCGCCUCCCAGCCCUCAAACCGAGGGAAAGCCCAGGUUCUCCGUAGCGCGCUGGUUUGCCUGUCUUCAGGGCUGAGCAGCCUCUCAGCUCCGGUCGCCUCCUGUCUGCCCCCUGCAGGCCAGCCGGUGGGACUGCUCAGGGGACGGCCGGGGCCUGGAGCGCAGGGGGCGAAGAGCGCUGGGUCGGCUUCCGCCGUUCCACAAACUGCAGGCCGGCCUCCUCGCGGCGGAGACAGCGGGCCAUGGCGCGGGUGCUGAUCGUGGGCGCAGGGCUGACAGGAAGCUUGUGCGCAGCGCUGCUGAGGAGAGAGACGGCCCGUCCUCUGCACCUCACUGUGUGGGACAAGGCCGGGGACUCAGGAGGAAGAAUGAUUACGGCCAGCAGUCCUCAUAAUUCACAGUGCACAGUCGACUUGGGUGCUCAGUACAUCACGUGCACUUCUCAUCAUGCCAAAAAACACCAAAGUUUUUAUGAUGAACUGUUAGCUCAUGGUGUUUUGAAGCCUCUGACCUCUCCUAUUGAAGGAAUGGUGAUGAAAGACGGAGAAUGUAACUUUGUGGCACCUCAAGGAGUUUCUUCAAUUAUUAAGCAUUAUUUGAAAGAAUCAGGUGCUGAUAUCUGCUUCAGACAAUGUGUAACCCAGAUCAACCUGAGAAAUGACAAGUGGGAAGUCUCUAAGGAAACGGGCUCCCCUGAGCAGUUUGAUAUUGUUGUCCUCACGAUGCCAGUUCCUCAGAUUCUGCAGCUUCAAGGUGACAUCACAAACUUAAUUAGUGAACGCCAAAGGCAGCAACUGGAGUCUGUGAGCUACUCCUCUCGCUACGCUCUGGGACUCUUUUAUGAAGCUGGCACGAAGAUUGAUGUCCCUUGGGCUGGGCAGUACAUCAACAGUAAUCCCUGCAUACGCUUCAUCUCCAUUGAUAAUAAGAAACGCAAUAUAGAGUCAUCGGAAAUCGGGCCUUCCCUUGUGGUUCACACGACUGUUCCAUUUGGAGUUACACACUUGGAGCACAGCACUGAGGAUGUGCAGGAGUUAAUCUUCCAGCAGCUGGAAGACAUUUUGCCAGGUUUGCCUCCACCAGUUGCUACCAAAUGCCAGAAAUGGAGACAUUCACAGGCGUAUAACAGAUGCUUAUAAUCAUGACUUGGGAAUAUGUUAAGAAUGAGAGAUAUAUACAAAGAAUCAAUACAAGCCACAUUUACUCUCUAAGUACAUACAAUUUGAAGGUAGGUAUUUUUUCCACAUUUGAUGAAGUCUUUUUCCCCAAUCCCUAUUUUUCUCCACACUUUUAUGGUCACUACCUGAAUAUUUAGACACAGGUGAACAAAUGAAGAAUAUGUUACCUCCGAUUCUAACUCUAUCUAGAUUAAUAUUUGUAUAGAAGAGAGAUUGUGCAAGUUUCUGGGAAAUAAGUUUUACACCAGAUUUUAUUCCAUUUUUAAAAAUUACUCGUUUACUCACCAUGUCUUCUGUUAUCUGAGAUUAUUGAUGGUUUUUCAAAGCUGACCUUUGCCGCCAGCCCCCACCCCUUAUUAAUGGAAAACCUUCCUCAUGCUGACAGACUAUGCUCUGAGCCACAUCAAGCACAGUGGUUCCAAGCGUUUUUAUUUCAUGGUCCAGUAAAAUCCCUCUAAACACUUCCAGUAUAAUAUUACUAUCUUUUUAUUCUACAAUUAAGAAUUUAAAAAGCAGAAACACAGCUAUAAGAAUUUAAUGAAAAGUAUAACCAAAAAAAUAGUAAAGAUACAACCUCAUGACAAAUUUAUAAACAGAAUUCAUUUAGCUCUAUGAGAAAGCUCAUAAUUCUCCUUAUUUUUUUCUUCUUGCCAUAGAUUGACUUUUGGGAACCACUGCCUUUGAGCUUUGCAUAGGGGCUAUAAAAGAAUAAGUUAACCAAAUAUUCAAUUUCUGCUGUUUAUGUACCAUGGCAUGGGUUCAGGUUUACACUGGCAGCAGAGUAGGGGAAGUGAGGAAAUGUAUGAAUCAGCUCCAUACCAUCUCAGCCUUCCUAGCUAUUCAUAUUGCCAGUGUGCUCAGUACUUCACACAUACAAUGGCCAGAGGAAAUGCCAAUGCAAGGACAUUGUUGCUCAGAGUUUGCCCCAAUCAAGUCAGUGUGCAACCAGGAGACAAUAAGAUUUCCCUGGAAUCCCAGGACAAUUUAUGAAAGGAGUCACCCUCAGACAUUGGAAUCGAUACAAAUCAAUUAAAAAGAUGCAGUGUGAGUAUCAAAAGCAGAAGUGAUGGAUUAGACAUCUUGGUCUGCUGUCAAGACUCAGGCAAACCCAAGUCUAACUCAAGUGACCCUCAGGAAUGUAGGUAACAUAAGAAAGCAGUAAAAGUACUCAGUCUUUUACAGCACCUGGGUUCUUUUUUAAUGUGAAUUAUUUCAAAUGUAACUGAGAAAUAGGAGAUCAGUAUCGCGGGGGAGUCGUAUUGGUUUUGUACAUAUUUAUGGUUUCAAGUGAUCAGGGUAACUUUCUCGCAAGCCAAGAGAAAGACUUUAGCAAAUGUGAAGAUCUUAAGGAAAAAACUGAAAAUCUCCAGAGGUGCCUUUCUUUAGUGCAAAGAGUGGCUAUUGCAGAGGCCUCAAGAACUGCUGGGUUUUCCACCAUGUUAAGCUUUGUGGCAAAGGUGAGAUUGCGAUGAAGAAACCACAAAGAUAUUUCCCCUUUAGUAAAAUGACAGACUGGUGAAGAAGGCCACAUCCAAUUUAGAUCAAAAUGGUCUCUUUUAGAAGCAACUACCAGCCAGGGCUCAUAUCUCAAAGGGAGAAGCAUAAGCCCCAGAGUUUAGGCUGCAAAGAUGUCUCUAGAUGCAGAGGCAGGAGAAUGUUAGCUGUGCUAUCCCUUUCCUAUGAUGUUUCUUGUUUUUGUUAGUGUUUAAUUCAGAGUUCUAUAGGUUUUGAGUUAUCUGCCCCAACUCUGUUUUUCCCACAAGCCUUGAUAUUUUUAAUGUGCAGUUUUGUGGAAUUUCAAUUGUAGCCAAAAUACCUGUAUUUUAUUUUCACUUGGCAAUCAAAGCUCCUGUGUGACCCAUGAAAGGGCAGUGAUCUGGAGGGAGAUUAUUAGAAGGUUAUUAGAAGGAAUUGGAAUUGAGCCUCCAGCAGCAUCUAGAGGAAAUGGCUCCUGAUGUGAUCCUAAUUCUUGGCAUUGAAAUAUCUCUAGUUUGGACAAAGGCAAUGCAUCAGACUAUCCUGGCUUACUGGGAAAAGAGAAAAAAAAACAGCAAGGAGUGUUUAAUUCCCCUAUUUCUAAUUAUGUGUUUGCUCUGCAGUCCUCUAAUCCAGGUUUGGUAUAUAGGAUUCCUCUCGAGUGUCAACUCCAAUUGACUGGUAGUGGCUGCCUGAAACAAUGAAGUGAGAAGGAUGCUGAGGCCACUUCUGGGCUCAGUGGAAAAGAAUGCCACAAUUGAUUAGUGAUGUCUGUCAGGAUUUGCCACACAUGUGUCACCCUAUAAUCCAUGAUACAGUUGAGGAAAUUUGCCUACUAAGAUAAAUGGUCUGGGAAGACAACCAGACUUGCUUCUGGAAUCGGUACAUUUACCUUUGUAAAUGAACAAAUCGAUUCUCUGAUAACUAGUCUAUCUCUGUCAGUUUCUCCUGAGGCUGCUCAUUUGGAUGAACUGAGAAAAUGGAGGAUUCAAACCGGCAAUGCUGAAGACGUUAGAAGUCCUGACACGGAGAUGCUGCUUACCUGAAAAGGCCCUGCUUAAAGGCUCCUGCCACUCAUUAUCUUUUGAUUUGCUAUGCAUUUACUAACUAUUAGGUAUUCAACACACUUCUCCCCUUACCCUAUUUAAUAUUUGCCAUAUUUCAUCGAUUUUAAGGUGCCAUCAAGUCAGUAUACACCAGGAGACAGUCAGGAUCUAGUUGUCACACAUGUGAACUUGGUUAUUUCCAGUGGUCUGACAGUGGGACCACCACUGCAACCCCUUGAUAUUUAAGUUAACAAAUUAUUUAAGGACCAUUUGAGAAAAGACUAUGAGUCCUGGUUGCUGUCUGAAAACCUUUCUUUCCCACCGAAGAGAAAGUGCACGAUCAGAACUUGCAGAACAAGUGUAAGCAGCUUGGAAGAAAACCCCAGAAGGACAGUUCAGUGGAGCACUCUUAUAACAAAUGCUGCAUCGCCAGUGCUCAAGGCAGCUCAGAGGACAGACUGUGUGGGGAAGAGCACGGACACUGACAACUCUGAGUUAAAGGAUGCUUCAGAGAAGUCAAACUCUGAAUGUGAAGAAGUUUUUGGAAAGGGUUAGCCAACCUAUUCCUCUUUUAUUUCCUUUUUAUGUUUGCAAAAGAUAUACGUGUAGAUAAGUCUAAAAGAACUUUUCUAGUAAAUAUAAAAUAAAAUUUUGUGUCAUGUUGACACUGUUUUUUCUUUCUCCUUGGUACAUAAAAUAUCGGUGCCUCUUCCAAUUGAUGAUGCCUUAGGUUCAAUGAAAAGAGGUACAAUUUACAUCCAUAACCAAUGAGGAAAUGCAGCAGCAAGAACCUGAUUGUUCUUAGGUUGUCCAAGUUCUCUCAUCAAGUUAGUUGUACAUUUAGGAUUAGAACUUAUGAGACUUUAAUUCUUACCUGGCCCACUUGAACUACUGCCAUAUUUCAGAAAGGUUGUUUUUAAGUAACCAAAUCAUGGACUGGAUAGUCAGCUAGAACUGAUCACCCCAAAAUACAGCUGCUCUGUAGGCCAAACCAACAAGAUUGUUCCAUAUGAGUAGAUGUCUGACAGUCGACAAGCUUUAAGUGUCAGCUUACAUAUGGAAGGAAGAGUGCACAUUGUCAUGUGUGUCACUGAAUUUUUUUGCUAAUUAUCAUCUAUCAUUUUGCGGAAAUACCCAUUAGCCUACGUGUCUGCCUCCCUCUUUCUUUUCAUCUCUAAUUUCAUGCUAACACCAAAGGGACUUUUUUGUGUGAAUUCUUACAAUUAAUAAUCAUGAUACAAAGAGACUAUUAGGUUAAACCAUAUAAAAAUUGACAAUUUUUUUACCAUUUUUGACCUACAGAAGCAGUAAGUUUGUGUGGUUCAACUUAUUACAUGACAUAUGAGAAAUUCACAGAAUGCACUUCACUAUCAGAGAUGAGAGGACAGCCAUCCAUUCCUCAUUAUCAAGAGCCUUCUAAAUACAACAGCUCCUCCAUUUGAGCUUCUGCCGUCUCUACGGACACCUCUGAAUAACACUGUUUGUGUAGCUGGUUCCCUGUGAAGACCUGCAUUUGAUCAACUGUUACAAAUGCUGCUACCGACUAUCCUGGCCAAAUGACUCUUCAUCUCAAACCUUUCCUCGUGUGUGGAGGGGAUGGAUUUACUCAGUCCAACUUUGAUGGCUGCAUCACUUCUGCCCUCUGUGUUCUGGAAGC